UAGUAGUGUUUAAAAUUUUACACAUUUUAAAAAGGAUGUAAUUCUGUUGGCAAAUUCAUGCUUAGGUCUUUACUCAAAGCACUAUUGAUUUAAUACUCAAGUCAAAUAGGAUGUGAGUGCGUUGUUCUCCAAUUCUUCACGGUUAGUUUUGAAUGACAUGAUGGCUGAACCAAUGUGCAUUGGUUAGCUAUUCAAAUAUUUUUCAUUUUUUUCCUUGGUCUUUAUUUUUGAUAUGCUAGAUCGUAUUUGUCUUGUCCUAAUUUAAAUUGAACAAAACUUGGUUCAAUUAUUUUAGUAUGUAAUUUAAUAUUUUAUUGCUUAUCUCUAGCUUUAAUAUUGAAAUUUUCUAAUUGGACAUCAAUUUUGCAUCACAUUUUAAACCAUGAGUUGCUAUUUCCUAGUUGAACUUCAUUCAUGUUAACGGAAGCUCCGAAGUAUUAAAUAAUUUUCCUUGAAUCGGUCCUUUUAUCUAUGUUUGGCUAUUUCAUUCUUUUUAUUCUUUUUAAUUAAUGUGCUGUAAUAUUUUUUGUGCUUGAGUGAGCUUGUUAGGAACCAUAUCCCUUGAAUUUAUUCAAUUUAAAUUAGUGCAUGCCAUGGAUUUAGAUGUCGAGGUGAUUUAGAUACAUCUAGUCCCUGUUCAAAUUUGUUGCAAUAUAAUAUAAUCCCAAACUUGUUGUAGAGGAUAUUAAACUCAUUAUUUCCUUAAUUUGUUCAUUACUUUGGCGUUUUCCCAGGAUAAAUUCCCUAACUUGGAAAGUUUGGAAUUGGAUGAGGGCGAUGCCAUGAAUGAGACAUGUGGCGGACCGUCAGCAGAAUUCUGUUGCAACCUAAAAUAUCUGAGGUUGUAUGGAAACGGUGAUAAAUGGAGUAUGUUUCCAAAUGUAGAGGCUCCAAUUGCAAGAGCAGGAGUAUCAGAUAUUGUGCCAUUCUCAUCCACAUCUUUCCACUACUUAAAGGAAUUGUAUGUAUGGAGAAGUGAUGUAUUGAUUAGUUUAUUAACUCCCUCAAUAGCCAGAACUCUUGUGCAACUCCAACGAAUUACAAUUUGGAAAUUCAAAAGAAUGACAGAAAUAGUUGCAAAUGAGGGAAGUGAAGCAGAAGCAGAAGCAGGAGAUGAGAUCGCUUUCAAUAAUUUGAGAUAUUUGCGAUUUGAUGAUUUGCCAAGUCUCAUAGCCUUCCAUUUGGGGAAUCACACCAUCAAAUUCCCAUCAUUGGUUGAUGUAUAUGUGAAUAACUGUACUAAAUUGAAGAUUUUCUGUAGUGGAGUCUUAAGCACUCCAAAUCUAACAAGCAUUUGGAUGGAAGGAAUGCAGAUACCCAAAGAGGAGGGGGAGCGAGAUCUUGAUCUUAAUGCUAAAUUCUUGCUAGCAGAAGUUCGCUGAAAAGACUGAUGCUGGUGAAGUUAGGGAGAGUGAACAUGACACUAAUGAUAACUUGGAGAGAGAUACUACUAGUGAAGUUAGGGACACAAUGUGAUGGAGAAUGAUGACUAGGGAGCAAAUUAAAAGAUGAUGGAUCUUCCCUUUUAUUGAUUGUUUUAUUUCAAAGUGUUAUCUUUAUGUGAUUUAUUUAUUUUUGAAACCUAUGUGAUUGUUACAAUAUAUUAUUUAUUUUCGAAACCUAUGUCAUUGUUACACUAUAUAACUUUGUUGUAAUUCUAGACUACUUUACCUA